CAAUAGCGUAUAUUAAAGUUGUUGCAGUUAAAAAGCUCGUAGUUGAAUUUUUGCUUGCCGCCGAUGUCGGAACUUCCGUACGUUCGGCGGCGUGCAUCCUUGGGUGGAACCUGUGUGGCAUUAGGUUGUCGUGCAGGGGAUGCUCAUCGUUUACUGUGAAAAAAUUAGAGUGUUCAAAGCAGGCUUACGCCGUUGAAUAUAUUAGCAUGGAAUAAUAAGAUAGGACCUUGGUACUAUUUUGUUGGUUUGCGCACCGAGGUAAUGAUUAACAGGGACAGUUGGGGGUAUUCGUAUUCCAUUGUCAGAGGUGAAAUUCUUGGAUUUCUGGGAGACGAACUACUGCGAAAGCAUUUACCAAGGAUGUUUUCAUUAA
rnacentral:rRNA from 1 species